AGAACGAACGCUGGCGGCAUGCCUGAUACAUGCAAGUCGAACGAACACUUCGGUGUUAGUGGCGCACGGGUGCGUAACGCGUGGGAAUCUGCCCUUGGGUUCGGAAUAACAGUUGGAAACGACUGCUAAUACCGGAUGAUAUCGAAAGAUCAAAGAUUUAUCGCCCAGGGAUGAGCCCGCGUAGGAUUAGCUAGUUGGUGAGGUAAAGGCUCACCAAGGCGACGAUCCUUAGCUGGUCUGAGAGGAUGAUCAGCCACACUGGGACUGAGACACGGCCCAGACUCCUACGGGAGGCAGCAGUAGGGAAUAUUGGACAAGUGGGCGCAAGCC
rnacentral:rRNA from 1 species